rnacentral:rRNA from 1 species
AACGAACGCUGGCGGCGUGCCUAAUACAUGCAAGUCGAACGGGGAAAGCUUUCGGGUGAGUACUAGUGGCGCACGGGUGAGUAACGCGUGGAUAAUCUGCCUUAGAGUGGGGGAUAACUAGUCGAAAGAUUAGCUAAUACCGCAUAAGACCACAAGAACUGCGGUUCAAGGGGUCAAAGGUUUUUCGCUCUAAGAUGAGUCCGCGUAAGAUUAGCUAGUUGGUAGGGUAACGGCCUACCAAGGCGACGAUCUUUAACUGGUCUGAGAGGAUGAUCAGUAACACUGGAACUGAGACACGGUCCAGACUCCUACGGGAGGCAGCAGUAGGGAAUAUUGCACAAUGGAGGAAACUCUGAUGCAGCGACGCCGCGUGAGUGAUGAAGGCCUUCGGGUCGUAAAGCUCUGUCGCAGGGGAAUAACACAAUGAAGGUACCCUGUAAGAAAGGAUCGGCUAACUUCGUGCCAGCAGCCGCCGUAACAC